rnacentral:rRNA from 1 species
CAGUCGCCACGGUAAUACGUAGGGUGCAAGCGUUAAUCGGAAUUACUGGGCGUAAAGCGUGCGCAGGCGGUUAUAUAAGACAGAUGUGAAAUCCCCGGGCUCAACCUGGGAACUGCAUUUGUGACUGUAUAGCUAGAGUACGGCAGAGGGGGAUGGAAUUCCGCGUGUAGCAGUGAAAUGCGUAGAUAUGCGGAGGAACACCGAUGGCGAAGGCAAUCCCCUGGGCCUGUACUGACGCUCAUGCACGAAAGCGUGGGGAGCAAACAGGAUUAGAGACCCCCGGAGUCCCUGUCUCUUAUAA